rnacentral:rRNA from 1 species
CGCCUGUUUUAACAAAAACAUGUCCUUUUGGGUGAAUAUGAGGUCUGACCUGCCCACUGAUAUUUGAAUGGCCGCAGUAUUUUAACUGUGCAAAGGUAGCAUAAUCAUUAGUCUUUUAAUUGAAGGCUGGUAUGAAUGGUUGGACGAGAUACUAUCUGUUUCACGUAGAGUUAGAUUAGAAUUUUAUUUUUCAGUAAAAAAGCUGAAAUGGUUUUUAAAGACGAGAAGACCCUAUAAAUCUUUAUAGUUGAUUUGUUAUAAUUUUUUAGAUGGGUUGUAUUAUGACAGUUGAUACUAUUUUAUUGGGGUGAUAUUAAAAUUUAAUUAACUUUUAGUUUUUGGUGACAUUAAUUAAUGAUUGAUUGAUCCGUUAAUGACGAUUGGAAAAUUAAGUUACUUUAGGGAUAACAGCGUAAUUUUUUUGGAGAGUUCUUAUCGAUAAAAGUGAUUGCGACCUCGAUGUUGGAUUAAGAGAUAGAUUUGGGUGUAGCAGCUUGAAUUCUAAGUCUGUUCGACUUUUAAUUUCUUACAUGACC